GAACAAUGGUUGUGUGAGUAGGUGAAGAGCCUGAGAAGUUUUGUCUUCUACACAAACGGUUGUUUUAAACCUCUACAGCAGAGGUUUGAGUAGUGAUUUUUAGAAGACAAGCAAACACAGUUGUCUGCUGGAGGGUGGCACUAGCAGUUUGAGGAGAGGAGACAGAGAGAGGAGCAGGAAAGAGAGGGAGAGCAGCAAAGAUUGAUGCAACACGGCACAAGUCAUCACUGCGACAAUGCAGAUUAAAGCAGAGGAAUGAAAAGAGGAAACAACACGAGAAGAACCUGACAGGGCAAAAGAAGCGGAAACAAGAAAACAAGAUGCUUUGUCAGGAGCUGUAUUUGUAUGCUGCUCACAGUCCCUGUAAAUUAGAGAAGAGAGAAGUGUGAGGAGGAGAAAGGGAAAUGUGUAUAUGUAUGUGCGUUUCUGUGUUUUAGAGGUAGGAUGGGGGUAGGGAUACAAAGCUGGACAACACAGCUAAUUCAGAUAGCAACAAUUCAGAGCUGGUUUUCUCAUUUUAAUGUCCAUCAUUGAACACACACAACAAACCUGUAUUGGCAGACUGAUUGUUGACAGUGAGCGCACACGUUUACAGGAUAUUCUUGAUUCCACUUGAAUUACUGCUGUCUCCUUCUACUGUCACUAUGUAAUCCCAGCAGUCUGUUGAAAGCCCUGUCAACUGAAACCUAAAGGGAGACAUGAAGCCACUCCUUCUCACCAGAUGAACCUCUCUCAUGUCAGUGUGCCUUGGGACAGGAUACAAAGAGGAGUUUAA